CACAAGGACACUUGCUCAACUAUGUUCAUAGCAGCAUUACUUGUAAUAGCCAGAACCUGGAAACAACACAGAUGCCCCUCAACUGAAGAAUGGAUAAAGAAAAUGGAAUAUUACUCAGCUGUAAAACACAAUGACCUCAUGGAAUCUGCCGGCAAAUGGAUGGAACUAGAACAAAAAAAAAUUCUGAGUGACAAACACGGCUUCUACUGUUGAUGGCCUUUAUGGAAAUAUAAAUUCAAUCAGCAGCUGCAAAUUUCAUGAGACGUCCAUCUUCAUGCUGAAUUUCUAACUGAGUGUCAAAACAAUCUGUGGACUUCUCCCUGAUGAAACACACAUUGAAUUGUAAAUUUCUGCAAUUUCCUCACGGUUGACUCUCAGCUGCCAGCCUGGAAACAGCCUACUAGGCUGCAGCAAAUAAUUCUUCCUUCUUAUUUCUUCAUGAGUUAAAAUGUAUAAGGAGCAUGAAGUCCCCCUUCCCCAGCGUUGGACAAUUAAAUUUUCUACGCUAACAAGAAAACAAGGCAAUCCACCCCCCCCAUAGAUACACUCGCUAUGUUUUAUAAAGAAACUAUUGUCUAAGAGACGUACAUGUUCUGUAUGGUCAUCUGUACUCAUUUACACUAGUUGGUAAGUGAACAAGACAGUUUUGAUAAAAUUAGUAUUUUCUAUAUAUGAUAUCAACUAAGUCUAUAACUGAAAAGCAGUCACUAGUAACUACAGGUUUAAUGAGAUACAUUGUUAUUAAAUAUUCCCAAGAGGAAAAUAUUAAAGCAAAAAAAUUAA